rnacentral:tRNA from 1 species
UCUAAUGGUAGAACAGCGGUCUCCAAAACCGACGGUUGAGGGUUCGAGUCCUUCUGCCC